UGGCGGCGUGCCUAACACAUGCAAGUCGAGCGGGUCCGUCCGGUAGCAAUACCGGGGAAGACCUAGCGGCGAACGGGUGAGUAACACGUGAGAAACCUGCCCGAAGUCUGGGAUAACCCGAGGAAACUCGAGCUAAUACCGGAUGUCUUCUUCUGAUCGCAUGGUCGGAUGAAGAAAGAUUUAUCGCUUCGGGAGGGUCUCGCGGCCUAUCAGCUAGUUGGCGGGGGUUAAACGGGCCCACCAAGGCGUCGACGGGUAGCUGGUCUGAGAGGACGAUCAGCCACACUGGGACUGAGACACGGCCCAGACUCCUACGGGAGGCAGCAGUGGGGAAUAUUGCGCAAUGGGCGAAAGCCUGACGCAGCAACGCCGCGUGCGGGAUGAAGGCCUUCGGGUUGUAAACCGCUUUCAGUGGGGACGAAUUCAGACGGUACCCACAGAAGAAGCCCCGGCCAACUACGUG
rnacentral:rRNA from 1 species